rnacentral:rRNA from 1 species
AGCAGUAGCCGCGGUAAUACGGAGGGUGCAAGCGUUAUCCGGAUUUAUUGGGUUUAAAGGGUCCGUAGGCGGACUUAUAAGUCAGUGGUGAAAGCCUGUCGCUUAACGAUAGAACUGCCAUUGAUACUGUAAGUCUUGAGUAUAUUUGAGGUAGCUGGAAUAAGUAGUGUAGCGGUGAAAUGCAUAGAUAUUACUUAGAACACCAAUUGCGAAGGCAGGUUACCAAGAUAUAACUGACGCUGAGGGACGAAAGCGUGGGUAGCGAACAGGAUUAGAGACCCGAGUAGUCCCUGUCUCUUAUAC